GGCCGACCUUGAACAAAGACAAGGACCACGCGUUUGCUCUGAGUCGUCCCCGCAGGUCCGGAUGGCCAGCUCUGCUCGGGCCACGCCCCGCUGACUCCUGGGGAGUCUCAGAGAGCUGGCCCCGGCCCACGAGAGAGGGAGGAAGUCGCUCCUCGUUUGGUGGGAGAGGAAAAGAGCUUUCAUCUACCUGAGAUUAAAUUAUAGCCAGGAGGCCCCUCUGAACAGGACCAAACUAGAUAACUGAAAACAUGCAGCCCUACUAUAAAUUCCCAGGAUUUGCAGUCUUUCCUGGACUGCUUUAUCCUUGAGAAGCUCUGGGAGUAAUUCUGUUUGAAAGAGAUCUAGGGGCUCCGUGUGAAAGGCUAUGGGCUUCUGGUUAACAGACCGCUUGUUAGCAGAAACCCCCCAGCGCAGAUCCUCGAAUCUUUCCUCCCCGCCUGGCCAGGGGCCCCUGGAGACCAGAGAGGAUCCUUCUCUGCCUGGAAGGAGGCCAAUGAUCCACCCCUGCCCUGCCGCCAGAACUUGCCGGCCCUUGGAGUGACAGGCCACAUGUCCCCGGCCCUACAGCAUUGGACUCAAGCCCUGCUGUGUUCAAGCAGGGUGGAUACUGGCUGGUGGUCAGGGCAAAUGACUUCUAGGAAUGGAAAACGGGGUCCCAAACACCAAAGAUCUUAGAAGGGACUCUGACAUCACAGGGAAUUUGUUGCUCCUCCCUGUCCCCACACCCUGAACUUGACCCUCCCCUCAAAGAACCCAGAGCACAGCUGCAGGAGUCAAAUGAAUCCGAAUCAUAAGGACCAACGAGUGAGAGAGCCAGAGGUGAAAACUUGCUAACUGACAGUCUGUGGGCGCACUUCUGUCCCCCGUCUCUCACCAGGAGGCUUGCUGUCUGGGUGGAAAUAAUGAUUUGAUUUUUUAUCAUUGAUGAGCUCAUGUCUCUCACUCUUCCGCAGCAACCAAAGAAGAAUCUGCAGAUCUGGAGAAAAAUCACAGUCCAUUAAAUCUGCAUCUCUUGAAAGAAAAACCCAGAAGGCCACCUCCCCAUCAAAGGCAAAAUGAACAGAGUUUGGAAGUGUGUUUAAAAUGCGCCAAGGGAGCAGCGGCCGUCCUAAAUUACCCCACUCAGCCUGAGGACGGUUUUGGUUGCCAGGAUCCCCAUGAGACAGAGAAGGAGAGGCCGAUGCCACGUGACCCCAAAGCCGAGCAAAGAGAACACACAACAAGACCGGAGACUCCCCAAAACAUCCUCACAUCACAUUCCUACAUUUUACGGGCUCCUUCUGUAGCCAGACUUAGAUCAGGAAGCGGCCAAGAGGAUAAACUCUUCCCCAGCCAUUCCUUGGAGAAUGGAGGCUAUGCUUUCCAGUAAUAAAACAAAGGUCAGAGAAUGACUUCGAACAAUAGAUCUGCUGUCGUGUGCCAGGCGCUGGGCAACACCGAGGAGCAGGUGUUUUCCUCCCCAUUUUACUGCCGUGGAAAGUUCUUUCCAUCCCAUUUCCUGCCUCCCGAGCUGCCUUAGGCUUCUGUGAGCCAGAGGCAGGCGGGCAGACUGCACCUGGUCAUGUGCACACCUGAGCAGAGAACCCUGGGACUUCAGAAGCCACACUACCCACUUAAGCCCUGCCCAGCCCAGCCCAGGGCAGAGCGGGUCUACUGGAACAUCUCCUUCCCUUUACCCAAGCUCAUGGCGACGUCAGCUUAUCUGUGCCUAUGCUCCAGCUGUACCCAAUCCAGUGAUACACAGGAAAUACCCCUACCCAAGAAGACUUGCUUAGCACCUUUCAAUGGGGGUGACCCAUCAUGUUCUCUUUGGGGAGGGAGCCCCAUAGCCAAAUGGGAGAGUGCUCCAUCCAGACAGAGCCCUCCACUCAAUCCCCGGAACCAGCUAGUGGCCAUGAGCCUCCAGCUCGCAAGCUCAAACCAAGCUGGGGGGAUGUCCCACAGCAACAAUGUAGGAAAGAGACUUCAGCGGAAGACACGGAUUCAACCACAGCAUCGGUCUCUGUUUUGUCGGAACACCGAGGGCUCUCCAGAAGGAAGCCCAUUAAGUUUGCAUUUUCCAUCAUGGAGCAAGUAAACAAACCCGAGGAAGAGCUGCCCAUCACUGAGCUGGCUUCCCGACAGGAAAUGGUAUGAGUGACUUCGUUUUUAAACAUUAUUAUCCUCUUGAAAGCAAAAGAUAAAGGACGCCUCGGAGCAGCCAAAUUGCUUUGGCUCAAAAAUCAUUUUAAAUACCAUUUCCUUUAACAAGCCUACUGCCUGGGCAACGGAUCAACACUAUUCAUUUUAACCUUAGUCAGUGGGGGAAAAAAAACCCACAUCUCUGAAGUGUUUGUAAUUAUUUAGCUCUUUCACUUUCUCCACACCCAGAUACGUUAACUAAUGACCAAAGCAACGCACAUGCAGGUCCUAUUUCAAACAGCGGAAUGGAGCGUUCAGUAGAGCACACCCAGGGGCCGUUUUCUCCCCGUGGCCGCUCCAAGCCCAAACACGGGAGAUCGAGGCCUAUUUUCGGCAGUUCCCAGCAAGGGCCCGAGACGUCCUUCACCUCUGUUGCUUUGUGUCUGUGAAAGUCCCGAGCUCGAGUGGGAGCUCACCUUUGCCCUUAAGAUGAACAGGCACUGGGAGACCCUCCUCGAAAUGUCUUUAUGAACAGGAAAGAUGGCGGACAGAGUCAGUCUGCCUCUUCCUGGGGCCGGUCAAGUGCAGAGCGGUGCAGGCAAAGGCGGGGGUGGCCAGGGCAACCUCUCAGGGUGCCGUGCAGACAGAAGCUCAGUAUGUGAAAGAAAUGCUUGGAGGAUUUCAGAUGUG